GAUCCCAAUCCUGAAGAUCCCAAUCCCGAGGAUCCCAGUCCCAAGGCUGAUCCCGAGGAUCCGAAGGCGCUCCCGGAUCCCGAUCCAUAGGCAGAUCCUACAGUUCCCGAUCCGUAGGCGGCUCCUGAGGCUCCCAGUCCUGAGGAUCCCAAUCCUGAAGAUCCCAAUCCUGAAGAUCCCAAUCCUGAGGAUCCCAGUCCUGACGAUCCCAAUCCUGAAGAUCCCAAUCCUGAGGCUCCCAGUCCUGAGGAUCCCAGUCCUGACGAUCCAAGUCCUGACGAUCCAAAUCCUGAGGAUCCAAAUCCCGAAGAUCCCAGUCCGGAAGAUCCCAGUCCCGAGGAUCCCAGUCCCGAGGAUCCCAGUCCGGAAGAUCCCAGUCCUGACGAUCCCAGUCCCGAGGAUCCCAGUCCCGAGGAUCCCAGUCCCGAGGAUCCGAGUCCUGAGGAUCCCAGUCCUGACGAUCCCAGUCCUGAGGAUCCCAGUCCCGAGGAUCCCAGUCCCGAGGAUCCCAGUCCAGAAGAUCCCAGUCCCGAGGAUCCCAGUCCAGAAGAUCCCAGUCCUGAGGAUCCCAGUCCAGAAGAUCCCAGUCCCGAGGAUCCCAGUCCCAAGGCCGAUCCGGCGGAUCCGUAGGCGGCUCCCGAGGAUCCGAAGGCGCUCCCGGAUCCCGAUCCGUAGGCGGAUCCCGCAGCUCCCGAUCCGUAGGCGGCUCCCGAGGAUCCCAAUCCCGAGGAUCCCAAUCCCGAGGAUCCCAAUCCCGAGGAUCCCUCGGAGGAUCCCAGCCCCAGCUCCGGAGCCUUGGGAGUCUCCCAGGAUCCGUAGGCGGCUCCGGGCGGCGCCGAGGCCGAGCCCGCGUAGAACUCGUAGCUCUCAUAGCCUGGAGGGGGAAAUCGGGAUAAAACCUCAAGUUUCCAGUGGGAAUUAAGGAUUAAUUCCAGAAGGAAAUAUUCCAGGAAUAUUUCCAGGAGGGAAAACUCUCGGGAAUAAAUCCCGGUCUCCAUUUUUUGGGAUAAAAUCC
rnacentral:lncRNA from 1 species